rnacentral:rRNA from 1 species
AGUGAACGCUGGCGGUAGGCCUAACACAUGCAAGUCGAACGGCAGCACAGGAGAGCUUGCUCUCUGGGUGGCGAGUGGCGGACGGGUGAGGAAUACAUCGGAAUCUACUCUGUCGUGGGGGAUAACGUAGGGAAACUUACGCUAAUACCGCAUACGACCUACGGGUGAAAGCAGGGGGUCUUCGGACCUUGCCCGAUUGAAUGAGCCGAUGUCGGAUUAGCUAGUUGGCGGGGUAAAGGCCCACCAAGGCGACGAUCCGUAGCUGGUCUGAGAGGAUGAUCAGCCACACUGGAACUGAGACACGGUCCAGACUCCUACGGGAGGCAGCAGUGGGGAAUAUUGGACAAUGGGCGCAAGCCUGAUCCAGCCAUACCGCGUGGGUGAAGAAGGCCUUCGGGUUGUAAAGCCCUUUUGUUGGGAAAGAAAUCCAGCUGGCUAAUACCCGGUUGGGAUGACGGUACCCAAAGAAUAAGCACCGGCUAACUUCGUGCCAGCAGCCGCCGCAG